rnacentral:rRNA from 1 species
GACGAACGCUGGCGGCGUGCUUAACACAUGCAAGUCGAACGGAAAGGCCCCUUUGGGGGUACUCGCGCGGCGAACGGGUGAGUAACACGUGAGUAACUUGCCCUCGACUUCGGGAUAACUUCAGGAAACUGGGGCUAAUUCCGGCCAGGAAUCCUUGCUGCCUGGUGGGGGUUGGAAAGCUUCGGCGGUCUUGGAUGGACUCGCGGCUUAUCUGGUUGUUUGUGGGGGAGUGGCUUACCAAGGCUUUGAUGGGUAGCCGGCCGGCGAGGGGGAACGGCCAAAAUGGGGAUGGGGUACGGCCCAGGCUCCUACGGGAGGCAGCAGGGGGGAAAAUUGGACAAUGGGGGGGAGCCUGAUGCAGGAAAGGCGCGGGCGGGAUGACGGCCUUCGGGUUGUAAAACGGUUUCAGCAGGGGAGGAGCUGGGGGUGACGGUACCUGCAGAAGAAGCACCGGCUAACUACGUG